rnacentral:rRNA from 1 species
UCAGGACGAACGCUGGCGGCGUGCUUAACACAUGCAAGUCGAACGGUAAGGCCCUUUCGGGGGUACACGAGUGGCGAACGGGUGAGUAACACGUGGGUGAUCUGCCCUGCACUUUGGGAUAAGCCUGGGAAACUGGGUCUAAUACCGGAUAGGACUACGCGAUGCAUGUCGUGUGGUGGAAAGCUUUUGCGGUGUGGGAUGGGCCCGCGGCCUAUCAGCUUGUUGGUGGGGUGAUGGCCUACCAAGGCGACGACGGGUAGCCGGCCUGAGAGGGUGUCCGGCCACACUGGGACUGAGAUACGGCCCAGACUCCUACGGGAGGCAGCAGUGGGGAAUAUUGCACAAUGGGCGCAAGCCUGAUGCAGCGACGCCGCGUGAGGGAUGACGGCCUUCGGGUUGUAAACCUCUUUCAAUAGGGACGAAGCGCAAGUGACGGUACCUAUAGAAGAAGCACCGGCCAACUACGUGCCAGCAGCCGCGGUAAUACGUAGGGUGCGAGCGUUGUCCGGAAUUACUGGGCGUAAAGAGCUCGUAGGUGGUUUGUCGCGUUGUCCGUGAAAACUCACAACUCAAUUGUGGGCGUGCGGGCGAUACGGGCAGACUGGAGUACUGCAGGGGAGACUGGAAUUCCUGGUGUAGCGGUGGAAUGCGCAGAUAUCAGGAGGAACACCGGUGGCGAAGGCGGGUCUCUGGGCAGUAACUGAC